rnacentral:rRNA from 1 species
UACGUAGGGUGCGAGCGUUGUCCGGAAUUACUGGGCGUAAAGAGCUCGUAGGUGGUUUGUUACGUCUGCUGUGAAAACCUAGGGCUUAACCCUGGGCUUGCAGUGGAUACGGGCAGACUAGAGGUAGGUAGGGGAGAAUGGAAUUCCUGGUGUAGCGGUGAAAUGCGCAGAUAUCAGGAGGAACACCGAUGGCGAAGGCAGGUCUCUGGGCCACUACUGACGCUGAGAAGCGAAAGCAUGGGGAGCGAACAGG